ACCUGCGGAAGGAUCAUUGUCGUGACCCUAACCAAAAUAGACUGUGAACAUGUCAUCAAUUCCACCGGGUGAUGGCCAUAGUGUCGUCUCCUGGCAUGGGCCUCUAUCCUUCUCAUGACGGGUGUGGUCCACAAAAGAACCCACGACGUCGGAUGACGUCAAGGAACACUUUUAUUUAUUGCUUGCACAAUGGUGUGAACUUCUUGUUUGAUACACCUUGUGCUGUGAUGCUACCUUAAUCCACAAGACUCUCGGCAACGGAUAUCUUGGCUCUCACAUCGAUGAAGAACGUAGCAAAAUGCGAUACCUGGUGUGAAUUGCAGAAUCCCGUGAACCAUCGAGUUUUUGAACGCAAGUUGCGCCUGAGGCCACUUGGUCGAGGGCACGUCUGCCUGGGCGUCACGCGAAAAGACACUCCCCCACCCUUCAUGGAGCGGGAUGUGGUGUUUGGCCUUCCGUGUCAUGUGAAUGGUUCGGUGGACUAAAGUGUAGGCUGCUAGCUAUGGGGCUGGUCAUAGCACUUGGUGGAUGACAAAUGUUGUUCUCGGAGUUGUGACAUGUAUGGCUUCUAGCGAUAGUAUGGCUGUUAUGACCCAUGCAUCGGAGCUUUGAUUGCUUCAACCAUGACCCCAGGUCAGUCGGGACUACCCGCUGAAUUUAAGCAUAUCAAUAAG
rnacentral:rRNA from 1 species